GCGAUUAUCACGCCUUCUCCUAAAAGCGUGCUUCUAUUCAUCGGUUUCAUUCUUGAGACUACUCUCUAUUGUGAACUGGUGAUACUCCACGAAAACCACCUUUCUUGGCGAAGUGAACGGAGGGGACUUCGGGAAUGGCCACCACGGGUGCGGCCGCUGACGGAAUCAAUGAAGAAGCGCGUUUUAGUUCCUCCGUCGAAGCCGACAAUGAUGACCUGAAGCUCCUUCGUGACUCUGUCCGUGCGGUGCCGGCUCAACCCCUCAAAGACCUGCUGUCUAACGGCGUUUGUGUGCGAUGUAUAUUUCGGCUAUUUUCUCUUCAUGAGCAAAUUUGUUCUCGUCCUUCCCUGGUGACACCAAUUCUUAGUACAAUUCUUCGUGAAGUAACAGGAUGUGAAGGAGAUGGCACUAGUAGUAGUCCUAGAGAAACUAAAGAUUUGAAUGAUUUAGAAUCCUUGAGAGAGGUCAAGGAGGAGAUUAAAGUUUGUAGUGUUUGUCUAGGCAUCUUGCAGUUUCUAUAUAAUGAUGAUAAUGGGACAUUGGUGAAAAAGGAUUCUGCCAGUGAUUUUGCUGCAGCGAUGGAAGAAGUUGUAAAGCAAGAGGGCCAUCAAAGUGAUAGCUUCUCACUUGAAGUCUCGCUACCCCAAGAUGUUGUUGAAAAUGAACAAGCAGUUUGGUUGUAUAUACAAGAGAAGUAUAGUUCUGAAUCUUGGUUCCUGGAAAAGCUUCCAUCUGAAUGCUUUGCCACAAAAGAUUUCCUGAAGUUGUCUGUGACAAAUCCUUUGGAGACAUUGUUGGGUAUAAAAUGCAAUGUAAGUUCUUUCCGAGUUCGCUUGACAUACACACUUUCUGAUGCAUCAACAAGGGACCGGCACAUAAAGGAGAAAAAUGGAUUCUGUAAGAGGAGGAAAACAGAUGACAGUGAUAACUUCAAGAAAGAUGGUGGCUUUCAUAGAGUUGAAGGACAUGAUCUCACUAGAAAAUCUUCAACCGCCUUGGAAGAUGGCAGGGUUGGUCUAUCAAAAUUCCCUCUAGAGAAGGUCAACCAGUGCUGCUCCUUGAACUUUCAAUGCUACAGAACUUCCGUCUAUGUUGGUGGGAGAUAUCUUAAGUACUCUAGAAAUGUCAGUCAGACACGCUGGAUCAUAGAUGAUGAGCGAAUGGGUGAAGCAUCUAUUGAGGAAAUAGUUGGUGGCAACAUCCUUCCCAUGUGCCAGGGUGACACUUAUAAGUUUCACGCUGCCGGCAGAGAAGAUAUUGAUGUUCGGAUGUUGGGUACAGGGCGGCCUUUUCUGGUUGAGAUCCAAAAUGCACGCCAAGUCCCUUCUGAUGCGUUAGUAAAAGAUAUCGAAAACAAAAUAAAUAGCCUAGAAAGCAAAUUUGUGAAGGUAAAGAAUCUUAAGGUCUUAGGCAAUCAGGGUUGGGAGCUGAUGCGUGAAGGAGAAGCAGAAAAGCAGAAACAGUAUGCUGCACUUGUGUGGAUUCCUCGCCCUCUAAAUGAUGACGAUGUGCAGACAUUAGCAUCAGUGAGGGACAUGCAAAUUUUGCAGAAAACUCCAAUAAGGGUUCUCCAUCGCCGAAGCCCAUUAGAGCGUGAAAAAACCAUACAUUGGAUGAGAAUAGAGAGAAUAGCUGGAAGUUCUCAAUAUUUCCUUUUGCAUUUGUGCACACAGGCUGGAACAUACAUCAAGGAAUUUGUUCAUGGGGAUCUUGGACGCACACAUCCAAGCAUUGGUUCAAUUCUCAAAUGCAGAGCAGAAAUAUUGCAACUUGAUGUUACAGAUGUGAAGAUGGAUUGCUUCCAGGCGUAAAAUGAGGCAUCCCUCAAAUUGGUUUUCAAGUGAAAGUAUACCUGCGACGUCAUUAAAGUUCUUUCCACCCGGCAUGGUCAAUGAUGCCCCGAUUUUAGGUUCCAUUUUAUUCCAUACAAUACAAUGAACGGACCGAUGUUCAAUGAAGGAGAAAGUGUUCCAAGGAAAACGAUAAUCUGUAGCCGUCUGUGGGCGGAGCAACCGGCCAAAAACACUCUUCUCACAUGGAGGAAUGAGAAAGUUGGUGAGGUAGGAAGAAAUGUACAGAAGAUUGAGAGUGAAAGAUCCAUGUUCUUGAGGGCCACAACCACACCAUACUGGGUACUUGUUCCUUCACUUUCACCUUUUUCAACUUGUCUCCAACUAAUAUAAAGCUGCUUACUUAUACGUGAUAUUUUUAGGAUUUGAUACAAUUUACUCCUAUAAUAUUGUAAAUAGGCAGCUUACCCUCUUAUAAAAAAAAAGUAGCAAUUUACCUCGUCUUGGGAGGUAAAAUACUAUAUUUUAAAAAAUACAAAAAAAGAUUUCAUGGGGGGCAAUUUGCUCACUAACAAUAUCACGGG